UUUGAUGAUAAUAUAACGUCCAUAUCGUAAUAUGUGUUUUUUUUUUGUUUUAUCUACUAUGUAUUAAGAAAUAAUUAACACAUUCUAUAUUAUUAAAGAGUAAGAAACCCUGUCAAUUGUUCAAAGUAUAAGCCCAAAGUUAAACUCAAGUCUAGCCAAAGAAAUAAAAUCCAGAAACACGUGUCGGUCUGUCAGAGAGUGACUUUCCACGUGUAUAGCUUAGGAGAGAGGCAAACAUAUUUUUAUAUAUAUAGACUAGGGAUUAACCCGGGCUACGCCCG
rnacentral:lncRNA from 1 species